rnacentral:sRNA from 1 species
CCAGCUUGGAGUGCACCUUCAGCAAAGAUCAUCGGAGAAUCAGAAAGAACCGUUGUGUCAUCCAUAGGGCGUGGCUGGCCGUGACUUUACGGCGGAGUCGACUCGGCCUCUUGUGCCUCUUAUAUAUACUACCCCUUUCAUUCAAUUCCAGCAUUGCCAGACCAGUUGCAUAAACUCUGAUAUCUUUCCCUUGUACUCUAGCGGUUGCUGAGCUGUAUCUCGCGACAGUUGCCCGACCUUGUACGGAAACCAUCACCCUCCCUACCCGAUUGUCUUGCGCGCCAUCAUAUGAUAUGAUUAUUGAAAAAUCAUAUCUAGCUAUUUACGCAAAAGAGUGUUCUUUUUUCGUUUAGCUUUUCUCUUCUAUUUUUUAUUUGGGAAAUCAUCAGGUGCUUGCGAUAUUUGAGCGUACAUUCUGUUUGCAUGAUCCGCGCCGUCACCUUUGACGGGAUGGCGGUUCUUAACUCCAUGUUAUAUUGCGAAGGGCUCAUGUUGAGGUCUUUUACAGAGCAUAUACCAGUUGAGGUUGCUCCUUUAUAUCUCCGGCCAUCGUACCGGCCGUCUUUGCUGAUAUAUCCGCAGUGAUAAGGCUGUCAUAUACGCGCA